ACGAACGCUGGCGGCAGGCCUAACACAUGCAAGUCGAACGGACGUAGCAAUACGUUAGUGGCGCACGGGUGAGUAACACGUGGGAACCUAUCUUUCGGUUCGGAAAAACGGAGGGAAACUUCCGCUAAUACCGUAUACGCCCCUUGGGGGAAAGAUUUAUCGCCGAUUGAGGGGCCCGCGUCUGAUUAGCUAGUUGGUGAGGUAAAGGCUCACCAAGGCGACGAUCAGUAGCUGGUCUGAGAGGACGAUCAGCCACACUGGGACUGAGACACGGCCCAGACUCCUACGGGAGGCAGCAGUGGGGAAUAUUGGACAAUGGGGGCAACCCUGAUCCAGCCAUGCCGCGUGAGUGAUGAAGGCCUUCGGGUUGUAAAGCUCUUUCGCACGCGACGAUGAUGACGGUAGCGUGAGAAGAAGCCCCGGCUAACUUCGU
rnacentral:rRNA from 1 species